GGAGAUCUUGGGACUUAGAGAGUUUAGAGCUUGGAUUGAGGCUUCUAAGUUGUAAUCUAUUUGUUCUCUCCCUCUAGAAUUGAGUUUUAUUGUUUGUUUUGAGAUAAAACCCUAGAAUAGAGACUUAGGGUUUGAUUUGGGCAUUUUUGAUCUAGGGCUUUUGGAGCUUGAUUAAUUGGAUUAGAACCUUCCAUUUGGUUGGAUUGAAAGGGAUUUAGCUCUCUUUUGGAGCUUGGGAAAGAUUUUCUACUCCAUAGGUGAGAUUUUAGCCCUUUUGCCUUGAUGGUUAAUGUUUGAUCUUAUAGUUGUUCGUAACGCUCGUGUAUCUCUUCGCUCCUUACUUUUAGGAUACUUAGAGACUCGUGGACUACGUUCGGCGAAACGAAGGACUACGCGACGGUUCGGUGGGUUUGACCUAGCCACACAAUGAGAAAACCUCAUUUGUGAAGAAUUGAGUAUCAUUAAAUGAAAAGGCAUGCAUAAUCAUGUUAGAUAUAUUUAUUAUGAAUUUUAGAAUGCUUAAC
rnacentral:lncRNA from 1 species